UACGUAGGGGGCAAGCGUUGUCCGGAUUUAUUGGGCGUAAAGAGCGUGUAGGCGGCCAUACAGGUCAGCUGUGAAAACUCGAGGCUCAACCUCGGAACUGCGUCUGAAACUACUCGGCUAGAGUACUGGAGAGGGUAACGGAAUUCACGGUGUAGCAGUGAAAUGCGUAGAUAUCGUGAGGAACACCAGAGGCGAAGGCGGUUACCUGGACAGUUACUGACGCUCAGGCACGAAAGCAUGGGGAGCAAAAGGG
rnacentral:rRNA from 1 species